rnacentral:misc_RNA from 1 species
CCCGCCGCAUUCGGCUCUUCUUUGUUGUUUAAGCCUCACAGACGACGCCUGAUACACUGUGUGCGAGCGCGCCUUCUCUUGGUUCUUUGCGUGUGUCUUCUUCCCCAUUUCCGUCCUCAUCGAGUGGCUCGCUGCGUGGUGUGCGUGUGUGUGUGUGUGCCCGCGCAUCGUGUUUUGGCCUCGUCUCUGAGGGGGCACCUUUUUUCCUACUUUUUUUUUGUGGGCACUCCUCUUCGCAAGCUGCGCAGCAGCUCCGUCGACAGCACGCGUGACCAUUGGAGAGCGCAUCGGCCUCAGUUCGUUACUCGCAGAGCGGGGCAUCUGUGUAGCGACACAGAAACGAUCGAAGGGCCUUCUCCUCCCUUCCCCAACACAAACACAUAUCCAAAGCAGAGACCAUCUGCAGAGAGAAACCUUAUUCACGCCCUGCCACCCACACUUGAGCUCGUCGCCAUGCAGCGCUAUUUGAUGAACACGAGCUAUCUGCAGGGGCAGCUCAAAUCCCUGUAUUCCCUGCACAACAAAACGGUGGCUGACUACGGCGAACUAGUGCAGAACUUGAACGAGGAGUGUACUAUUUUGUGCGACGUCAUUCCGAGCUAUCGCAUCUCCAGCACCCUGGAAAGCGAAGAUGGCGGCGGCCAGCGCAAGCAGAAGGAGGUGUACAAUAUUCAGAAGCUCGAGCACGAGAUCCUCACACAAUACACGCACUUCCUGCAACUGCUUCGCAAGCUCUCGCGCAAGUCGCACCCGGAGCAGCAGGCGCUCGGUAGCCGUCUGUGCGCGCGACUCGUGAAGAGCUCCGCGCCGGAGUUCAAUCACGCCGACGCACUCCUUUCCCUCGCGAUCGACUUCGCCAAUAGCAAGUCGGUGCGCGUUGCCCAACCGUGCCAGACGGCUCUCUCCGAGGUUCUCGAUGGCCAGAAGGUGUCGGACACGACGGAGCACGUUGUGGGGGCGCUGCUGCGCAUUGUGCGUAAGCGCAGCUAUGCAAUGAACCCAAAGCUGCUGAACCUGCUGCUGCACGUGCGCGUAGCCAUGGUGGACGUUCAUCGCGAGGACUUGGCGGAGGAGAAGGCGAAGAACAAGCGGCUCAAGAAGGAGGACAAGGAGUUGGCACGUCAGUUGCAGAAGUCUAAGGCUCGCCGCGACCGUGCCGAGAUUGCAGCGAAGCAGACCCGCAUCUUGCACCGCAUCUUUGUCAUCUACCUGCGCGUCAUCGAGGCAUCGAAGGCGUGCUCGCCGGUGCAUCAAACGAAGAUCUUGGCACCAACGCUGGAGGGGCUCGUGAAGUUUGCGCCGCUGGUGAACUUGGAGCUCUACCAGCAACUGAUGGAGGCACUGAAGGACUUAGUGAAGGGCGGAGGUGCAUCACGAACACGCCUCCGCGUGGGCGGCAUCGAGGGUGGCAGCGACGGCGACAAUGUCGAUGACAAGCACGAGAAGACGGCGACCUCAGUGACCACGCGGCUGCACGCGCUGGUGGCAGUGGCGACGCUGGCGCAGCGGGACGCCACAGCGACCGCCUCGGAGUGGCGUGUCGAUCUGAGCUACUUUCACGAGGUUCUCUUUCGUUGUCUUGGCGAGGCGCUCGAGUUGCCGUCGGCUGAGUCAUCGUCCUCGGCGAAGAUGACGCGCGAGGAGGAGCAAGAGGCUUCCAACGGCGACAUGGACGAAGUGGCGUCGCAGGGGUCGACGUCGUCUGCCGGGUCGCUGUCGUCCCAGGCCUUUUCCAUUGCCCAGUCCAUGACGCAGGGGACGUUCGUGCACCAGAACGCGAGUCGUGAGUGGACCUUCCACGUCGGUCUCGUGCUGCGUGCCGUUGAUCUGCUGGUGCUCACGCAGAAGCAUCUGCCAGUGGCGCGCGUGACAGCCAUCCUGCGCCGUCUCAUACAGGCGGCUCCGUCGUGCCCGCCGCACAUCGCCAUGUCCAUCCUCGCGCUGUGCCACCGCAUCGUGCUACGUUACCCACUUGCAGGAGGUGUGAUUGUGGGCGGCAGCGACAACGUCGUCGCGGGUCGUGGUGCCUACAACCCGGAAGCACUGCAGACUGCCUCGGCCAACGCGGAUAGCUCUUUUACGUGGGAGCUGAGCCUCCUUUUGCACAGCUACCACCCAACACUGCGCCAGGUGGCAGAGACGAUGUGCAAGCAUUACCACAAGGUAUCCAAACACCAGCAUGGGCAGGCCCCCAUCGUCACGAAGCAGCUGGACUCGCUCGGCCCAUACGAGGUGAUGGAGGAGUACGAUCCAUCGCUUGGCGACCUCAAGCCUGCCGCCCCGCUACCGACCGCCUUAAAGGCGGAGGUCCGGAAGCGACAGCGCGAGGAGGCGCAGGCGUACGGGGUCGCGUGAGGAUGAAGCGUGGAGCUAAGCGUGGCUCUAUGGGCUGUCAUGUGUUCUUGUGUGCGCCUGUGCUGCUGCGGACGUGGGGUGUUGGGGGCAUUGGCUGGCAAGCCAGCGCGGGGUCCUUUUCUUCUCGUUUUUUCCAUUGUAACUACGCUUAAAUGACUCGCUUUAACGCUUACUCGCCGUGCACCCACGACGGCACGCUCACCAAGACACGACUAUGGCAGCGAAAGAAAGACAUGAAACACCCUGAUCGCGGGUGCAUGUUUGUGUGUGGAGCAGGAGCCAGCUUGAAUCGCGCGGGGCUUUCUUGGUUGAUGCGGCUGACUUUGUGCGCGCCUUGUGGCGCUCGCUCGAGAGAGCGAGCGCGUUAUGUUUCGCGCCAUUCUUGCUUCUCGUCGCGUUGCUGCUGACGAACCGACUGUGGUGCCUCUGCGGCAACUGUAAGAAGAACCGAAC